CAGGCCUGUGGCACCUGUCUGGCUUGUGUCAAAUCUGCUUCUGAAAGAUGUCUGGGGACUGGCGCUUCCUCGUUCAUCUCCCUGCACUUUUCCAAAGCAAGAGGUGGAGCUAAAAGGAGCCUUUGCUUCCUGCUGCGGAAGGAAUUGCUUCCCCCUGCACUGCUGAAACUGCUGUUUGCUGAGUUCCCUUUGUGCCAGACACUUCCAGAGACUGCAGACUGGAUCAGGCCUUUCGAAGACUCUCCCAUACACCGCUUCCAAGGUUUCAAGGUUCACCAGCUUUUUAGCAAGCCAGCACUCACACCAAUGUUGAUGGAUGAUUUUUCCCUACUUCUUGCUCUUUGUGAAUGAGCUGUUGGCAAGCGCUCCUCACUGCAGCUGCUGCUGCCUUAAUCUCUCUUUAUGGAGAUACGGAGGUUGCCUUUAGUGAGUCCCUGAAGUCCGUUGCUGCGGUGUUGACAAGCUUGGUUCACCGCAUGAACACAGCACAGUCUGCAGAGGCAAGUUCACUGACCUGAUGGUGGAGCUGAUUCCGCUGGGACCCAUGGGGAGCCACUCUCCCCAGCACCUUGCAGCACAUGUCCUGCAGCUGCAGGUUUGGUUGCAGCUGUGUGAGCACCUCCGAGUUAGCUUCAGUUACUGUAUGAACGCUCUGUCUGGGAUAAACCUGCAUUUUGCAUCCCCAUCCUUCAGGAAAAGCCAAAGUGUUUAGGGUGAGAUCUCUUUAAUUCCUGUGCUCUGCUGCUGGCUGCAGGACUUGGGGCUGCUUUGAACUGCAGCCUAGAAAGGAGCCUAGAGGUGGAGGAGAGCCAC